rnacentral:rRNA from 1 species
GUGGGGAAUCUUGCGCAAUGGGCGAAAGCCUGACGCAGCCAUGCCGCGUGAAUGAUGAAGGUCUUAGGAUUGUAAAAUUCUUUCACCGGGGACGAUAAUGACGGUACCCGGAGAAGAAGCCCCGGCUAACUUCGUGCCAGCAGCCGCGGUAAUACGAAGGGGGCUAGCGUUGCUCGGAAUUACUGGGCGUAAAGGGCGCGUAGGCGGACAGUUUAGUCAGAGGUGAAAGCCCAGGGCUCAACCUUGGAAUUGCCUUUGAUACUGGCUGUCUUGAGUACGGGAGAGGUGAGUGGAACUACGAGUGUAGAGGUGAAAUUCGUAGAUAUUCGGAAGAACACCAGUGGCGAAGGCGACUCACUGGCCCGUUACUGACGCUGAGGCGCGAAAGCGUGGGGAGCAAACAGGAUUAGAUACCCGUGUAGUCC